ensembl:snoRNA
UUUGCUGCCACUGGCGUUGCAGAGAUGGCUGCUGUGGCAUCUUUGUGUCAAAGAGUGGCAAGAGAGACCCAGGCUAUGUUCUACGCUCGUUUGUUCUGCACCCCGUGAGCAAUCAGAGUGAUUGAUAGCCUGACAUC